AUGAAAACUAGUUUUCAUCGUAAAUAUUUCAUUAUAGUGAUAAAUUUAAUUUUUCAUCAUAAAUAAUUUUAUUGGUGAUGAAAAUAUUUCUGUCACUAAUAAAUUCAUCAUAAAAACUCUCUUUUCUUGUAGUGACUUAAUGCAACUUUUGCAUUGGAUCAAUCAUCAAUCAAAUUGAUAAUCAAAUUCUAUUAUGAUUCAUAAUCAUUAUUCAACCAUCUGAUCAGUCAAAAAUCUCUUUGUUGUGACCCCAUAAGUUCUAUUAUGUCUGGUAGUGAGAUAUAUUGUGAUCCUUAUCAUAAUAUCCUUGAAACUCUUUUCAAUGGGUUGGAACCGCUCCAACUCUACCUACCAAGGAUCAUCGAUCAUCAAGAUGAUGCUCGUGGGUCUCAUAAUCUACCAGUAAUACCUAGCAAUAUAUAGUAGCAAUCCAGU
rnacentral:lncRNA from 1 species